GAUGAAGAACGUAGCGAAAUGCGAUAAGUAAUGUGAAUUGCAGAAUUCAGUGAAUCAUCGAAUCUUUGAACGCACCUUGCGCUCCUUGGUAUUCCAAAGAGCAUGCCUGUUUGAGUAUCAUUAAAUUAUCAACUGUACCAAUUUGGUUGCAGAUUGGAUGUGGGAGAUUUUGCAGGCUUUUGAUUUCUCUUUGAGAAAACGGUCAGCUCUCCUGAAAUAUAUUAGCAGUGCCUUUGUUGGUUCAUUAGGUGUGAUAAUUUAUCUACAUCUUCACAUGGUACCUUCAUUUGUGUAAAGGUCAUAUUGCUUCUAAUUGUCUUUGGACAUAAAAAAAAAAACAUAUAAUUGUAUGGAAAACUUGAUCUCAAAUCAGGCAGGACUACCCGCUGAACUUAAGCAUAUCAAUAAGCGGAGGA
rnacentral:misc_RNA from 1 species